UUAUCCAGAAUGAUUGGGCGUAAAGCGUCUGUAGGUGGCUUUUUUCAAGUCCAGCGUCAUAUCCCAGGGCUCAACCCUGCACAAGCGGUGGAAACUACCAAGCUGGAGUACGGUAGGGGCAGAGGGAAUUUCUGGUGGAGCAGUGAAAUGCAUUGAGAUCGUAAAGAACACCAAUGGCGAAAGCACUCGGCUGGGCCGACACAGGGCUUGACUUGCCGCGAAUCCUCUUGAAAGAGAGGGGUGCCCUCGGGAACAUGGACACAUGUGGUGCAU
rnacentral:rRNA from 1 species